rnacentral:rRNA from 1 species
UGACGUGGAUGCUAGUCUCAUAGGUUAAGCCAUGCAUGUGGAAGCGAAGCCUUUAUGGUGGAGCGGCGUACGGCUCAGUAACGGGCGAUCAAUUUGAUCUGCCUAUACGGAUAUCCUCUGUAAACGGAGGGUAAAACGUAAGGGGGGCUUCCUAGCGGAAGUUCGCCAAACCUGUAAAGGUGAGGCAGAGUAAGAAGCCAUCCCAUCAGUUAUUAAGUAGGGUAAGGGCCUACUUAGACGAAGACGGGUACGGGGAAUUAUCGUUUGAUUCCGGAGAGGGAGCCUGAGAGACGGCUACCGGGUCCAAGGACAACAGCAGGCGCGAAAAUUACCGCAGCCUGCGAUCAGGGCGGUAGUAAGGAGACGUGAUGACGAAGUGCUGAUAAAAGCUGCACUAGUGACAGGAGGAAAAGACUGGUGCCAGCACCCGCGGUAAUACCAGCUCCUGGAGUGUCUAUGAUGAUUGCUGCAGUUAAAGAGUUCGUAGCCGAGGCAUUAUUAACUACGUUAAAGGGGAUAUCUCAAUUAUCCCUGUGCGCAGUGAUUUUGCAGAAUAAGGAGUGCUUAGGGGCUAGAGUAUCAUACGGCGACUGGUGAAAUGGGAUGACCCGUGUGGGAGUAACAGAGGCGAAAGCGCUGGCCAGGGGCGAAUCCGAUGGUAAAGGACGUAGGCUAGAGGAUCGAAGACGAUUAGAGACCGUUGUAGUUCUAGCAGUAAACGAUGCCGAUGUCGUGG